CGCCAAGAGGUUGACUGAAUAGUAUUAUAGGUGAUACACAUUAUGUGGAUGUGAAAUUUAGCUUUUUAACACUAUUACAAUAGUGGCACUGACAGGUUUAAAUAUAGUGUUAGGGCAGAUAAUAUUUGUGGCUGAUAGUUCUAAUUUUCUUUGCCAACACUAUAUCAAAUCAUUAACUAUUUUCAAUUUUCACCAAAUGAUUCCAUAGUCAUAAGCUUAUUGCAUUACCAUAUUACUCCUAAUGAUUUAUUUCUAAUCAUAUUGCGAGUACGUAUUUAGUGUGAUAGCUGAAUUAUAUUAAUUUGGCUACAAACAAAAUGAUGCAAUUUAAAAUAUUGAUUGCAACAGCAUUCUCUUUCCAUAAAUCUGCCUUGUAUUUCCAUUGAUUUUAAGUAUGUGAUUAAAUUGUUUGCUUUGAUUCAGAAAUUGUAUUUGGAUUAUAUGAGAAAACUCAAAAUGUGGAAAAUUACAAUUUUAGGUUGAAAAGUACACAAUGCCUAUCCUGAGAAAGCAAUGGUGUUGGCUCUGAGACACAUGACAGGAGUGACACCAGGGCAGUGUGGAUGUGCUCUAUGAGUCACCUCACAAAGAGGACAGAUUGGGACAUUUCUCCAUGAAAACACAUGCUCUGUGGGGGGAGUAGGCAUGGAUUUGAGUCCCAGGAGACUUUUAUCUUUUCAUUUUUGUUAUACAUUUUAUCUUUAUAUAUGAAAAAUGAGAGUUUGAAGACAACAAAAUCUUUAAUACCUAUGGAAACCCUGGCACAUACCUGUGGGAAAAGAAUCCUUUCAUUUUAUCACUAAACAUAACCCUAGGUUAAAAUCAUCAUCAUACAUAGUUAUAGUAUCUAUAUAUACAUAAAUAUGUACGUAUAUGUGAUGUAUUUAUGCACAUGUUUAUAUGCUUAUAUGCAAACAUGGCAUAAAUAUGUACAUGCAUAUAUACAUACAAGGGUAGAUUCCUCUCUACAUAUAAGGUGAAUUCUAUUGUAAUGAAUAUUAAGUUAUACAUAUAUGCAGUAGAUAAAGUAUACAAAUAAGGCAUAACCCAGUGUAUCUGCAGAGUCCUCAUAUUUGCUUCCCAUAUGAGAACCUCUGAGUCCUCUUCUGUCUUCUGUGUUAUGCUACCAUUUUCCUUUUCUAUUAAUGGGUGAAUGUCUCUCAUGCAAAGGAAGGCACCUUUGCUGGUGACAGGCGGGGGCGGCGGCUGUGGUGGGGGGCUGCAGAAAGUAGGCGUUAUUUUUGAGACUCCUGUGCAGUCGGUUCUCCAUGGGAUCCUCAGUUGCACAGGCCAUCAGCUCUGACUGUAACUAUGGCUCCCACUUCUGGCUCGUCCAUCUCACCUUCAAUUCUCCUUGAGCCUCAGGGCUGCUCCUCCGUGAUUGCCUCCUAUUACUGGUCUCUUGUAGUUUCCAUUUCGCUUCUUGAUGAACCUGCACAAGUAGACCCGUAGGCUGAAAUGUUAGGGGAUGCUGUGUGUUUGCCCCACACUGGGCGGGGCAGUCAGAAGGCUCUUGAUAAACAUUUGUAUUGGAUGAAAAAAAAAAAAAAAAAAAGAAUGAAACCUUAAUUGAGUGACUCACCUGAACAAAACCAGGGAAAGCCUCAGACAGACUUGAAGCUCUGUGGUUCUGCCUCUUUAGGGUUUGCUUCCUAAAUCCAGCACCUGCUGUCUCCACCUCUGCACCCUGGGUGGUGGUGGGACGGAGCCGCUGAUACUCUUUACUUUUUGGCUUCAUUUUUUUAAAUUGAGAUGUAGGUGGUUUACAAGGUCGAGUUAGUUUCAGGUGCAUGAAAGAUUCAGUCAUAUAUGAAUACAUAUACACACAUACAUACAUACACACGAAUAUGUAUACAUACAUACACACAUAUAUAUCCAUACACACUCAUAUAUACACAUACACUCAUUAUAUGUAUUUUAUAUAUACAUUGUAAAUAUAAUAUAUAUAGUAUAAAUGUGUGUAUAUAUAUUACAUAUAUAUAUAGUAUUUUCCAGAUUCUUCUCCCUUAUAGGCUAUUCCAAAAUUUUUAGUAUAGUUCCCUGUGCUCUACAGUAGAUCUUUGUUAGUUAUCUAUUUUAUAUAUAGUAGAGUGUAUAUGUUCAUUCUAACUUCUAAUUUAUCCCUCCUCCACUUCUCCCUUUGGUACCCACAAAUUUGUUUUCUAUGCCUGUGGCUCUAUUUAUGUUUGGUAAAUAAAUUUGUUUAUGUCAUUCAUUGUUUUCCAGAUUCCACGUAUAAGUGAUAUCAUGCAGUAUUUGCCUUUCUUUGUCAGCUUCUUGUUUUUGUCAUUUUUCUCUUUUAGAGCCCUUCUCACUUUUCUACAUGCAAAUCAUCCCCUUUCAAGGCCUAAUUCAGACGCCACUUCCUAGAUGCUCUGGAGAUUGUCCUUCCUGACCACCAUAAACCAAUCUCAUUUAUCUUGGAAACAGUCACAGCCCUUCUUGAGAAGCAACGUUUUUGCAUUGAUUACAUUGAAACUGUUUUAAGUAAAAAUCGCCAGUAUCCAGAAUAUGUGCCCCCAUCCUAAAAACUCCUUAAAGGAAAGAUUUAAACCUGUACCAAGCAUAUCCCUAGUGAGAUAUCUUCCUUGUACGAAGCAUAACCCUAGUGAGAAGGAAAACUUGAAGCAUUUCUCUCCAUUGGUAAAAAGGAUGCCCAGAUGUUAACCAGAGGAAGGGUAGUGACAAUUAUUUAAGUAACAUUAACCACAGUUCCUUCUUUCUUCACACGUGAUGAAGGAGCACAGUUGCCCAUAUCAUUCCAUAAGAUCACUGGAUCCCUUUUCUGUUCCCAGAGCCCUCAAAAAAUUGUGUGGAUGCCAACCCUAUGUUUGUUUCUUAAUCUGUGGAGGUCAACUAGCGCUGCAGGGAUGUGUGUCUACAGCUCAGUGCUCAGGUGGACUGUGAUACUAGGGAGCUCUGAGGGUCAGCGCACAACUGCAAAUGGACUGAUUUGCAGCCAAUUACAAUGGACUGUUAAUUUAGCUGUUCAGAUGAUGAGACAACAAAGCUUUGCUCUAAGCCAUUUGAUUCUAUUGAUCUGUGCACAUACACCCUGAGACCCUCCCCCACCCCUGGCGGUAGUGACGUGGAUGCCAUUGACUGAGUCAGGCCUCUCAUGUCAAAAUUUGGGUUGCCCAGCAGAACACUGCAUAGUUUCCUGCCUGGCCAAGGUGCACUUUAGAAGGACUUUUAAAAUAGGUCCAUGUAAUGAAUACAUUUUAAAGCUGAAAAAUGAUUAUCUAUGAAAUGUGGAGAUUCAUCACUCUAAGCAAUAACCAAAUUAUUAAUUUAUUUAAUAAAAGACAUGGUUAUUUGGACUAGAUUAUAUUUUUAUUAGUUAAAUAUGCAUUAAAUUUAUCCACUGAACAAUGAGUUCCCAAUACUAUAAUUUUGGGGGAUCUUUUUUCAAUAAGCUAAAGUUAAUAAAGAGGGAUUCUAAUAUUCUAGAACACUUACUUCCUUCUUAAUGAUUUCUGUGCUGGGGCAAAAGACAAAAGGUAUAGGUGGCCGGAAAUGACAGCAAGAGCUAGGGUUAUCUUCUGUGUUCUCUGGGGGCUCACAUUUCUGAGCAGUCUCUGCACCUAAUAGGUGCUUCAUGAAGAUUUGUUAAUAAACUAAUGCUUCAUAAUUUGCAUAUGUAAACCUUCUAAGAAACCAAAUGUUUUGAAUAUAGACUAAAAUUAAUUUUACUGCAAUUUCCAGGAAAUUCUUUACAUACUCCAGGAAAUAGGCUGAGGCUAUGAUGCACGUGAUGAAAACUUUGUCUUGAAAUUAUUUUCCAAAUGUAAUUGGCUCUGAAACUGAUAUCAUCUCCUCAUCAAAGUGUAACAAUAAUGUUUGGGCAUAUUAAUGUGUUAUAUGAACAUAUAAUGUGGCAUAUUAAUGUAUUUAACACAACACCUUACCUAUUUCAUGUAUUAUAUUCUGACAUAAACAAAUGGCUUUAUGGAAUUAUACAAUCGUUAUUGGUUAUUUAAUCAGUAAUACAUUAUGAGAAACGUUUAAGAACUUUAGAGAGAGUGCGCUGACUUUCCUGUGACUAUACUUUUUGCUUCACCCUGUAUGUGGAACACGUAAAUAGACGUGGCUCAAAGCCUGAGACAGCUGCUGUAUAUUCUGGAAUUAUUUUGUUGUAUCUGAUGAAAUUCUGUGACAAUCCCAGACGUUGUCAAGCAACGGUAUGAUUACUCCAAAUGCAUUUUCUCAAAGACUGCAUGUCAGGGGCUUAUCUGGGCUGUUUUUAUCUUGAAUUACGGAGGAUUCUUGAAUCUCUUAACACUGUGUCCUUCUCUCUUGAAACGUGUGAAUUGAAGUUAUUAUAGCUCCGGAGACCCUUUUAGAGACACGGCAAAGAUGCUCACCAGAGAUCUGAACUUUGAUGAACACGUUUCUCUAUGGUUUCUGGGAUGAGCUAACACCUUCAUUGAUGUUUGGUCAUUAUUGUUAGAAUAAGAAGCAAAUCAGAAAGCUUCUGGUACUUAUUUUUAGAAACUCCCUUGCUAUCUGUAGGAAGAAUACAGAGAACAAGGCUUAUGUAGGCCAUAAAUUAAACUUUUGUUUUAAGAUAGGGUUGGUGACAGUUUUAUGUUCUUCAAAAUUUCUUUUCAGAAUCCUAGUAAUUUUUUUCCUCUUCAUAGCACAGAAUCUGGGUAGGGGGGAUUUGUGUAUUUACUUUUUAACAGAAAUAUGUCUCAGCAUUUCCUGUUUGAUUUUCUUCUAAGUACAUUUUUUCCUUGACUACAUAUAUUCCUAAGACCAAAACAUGCAGUAUUUCUUCAGUCUAUGAAUUAAUCAAUGAAGCUUAUUUCAGUGAUUUGGAGAGAUUACCUUAUUUUUGGAAAUAAUUUUUCUCAACUAUGUAAAUCACUCAUAAAUAUAACAUCUGCUGGAGGGAUCUUAAAAGCAGGGUGAAAUCUUGUUCCUUUUGGAAUCCAAUUUUGACGUAAGCUUUGACAGCUAAAUAAGACAAUGCUCAAUUUUUAGGGGGAGAGUUGUCAUUCUUAGAAUUUUGUGAUGCAGUGGAUGGUUUAAUAUGUUCUAUUCUGACAUAAGCAAUAUCACCUGCUUCUCAAGGGUGUAAUAAAGCAGACUGAUGAUGUAUCAAUGGUAAUAACUGCCUCAUAAAAAGUGGGAUAUUAGAAAUGUGGUUUCCUCUCUAAGAAUAUCCAUAAAAAUAUACAAGAACACACACUCUAGAUCUUUCCAAGCUACUUUGGGAAAAAAGACAAUUUCUUUAGUAAUUUUCCUGUUGGGUAUUAAUUUUACAGGUAAUUAUUUUAAUGGACUGAAGAGUGCAGAGUAAAUUAGGCGUCUUUUUGUGGUGAUCUAGGGAAUUCUUCCACAUAGGCAUGAGUUAGGUGAGGGGCCUCCACGCAUUGGGUUUUAAUGGAAAGCAACAGGAUCCCAAAUAGAAUGAAGACCAUCCCCUGACAUUUAGAGCGCUUCCCAUGUGAAAUACAGACUUCGUGGUCCUGUCUCACUUCAAAAUGGAGGAAAGGCAGAAACGGGGCAGCUGUGUUUAUCUCCUUUGCAUACACAUGGAGCGCCCAUCUCCAUCGAAGGAAUUAAAUGGUUUAUUUCUCAUCGUGGACAAUUCCUCUCCAGCUGCGUGGGAAUUUUGGUCAUGUCCAUGUCUUGUAUAAAUGACAGGAUGUAUAAAACGAUGCCAUAUCUUAGUCUUUUGCUGUAAUAUUAGGAAGAAGAUGUUUCAUUUUCUUUUCAUUUUAUUUGCGUUUCUACACACUCAGCUUAUAAAUUGCAUGGCUUAUUCUAAAGCUUCUAACAGAAAAUCUAUCAAGAAAAACAGUUUGUUAGGGAAUAGUUCUUUUAUUCACAGAUUAGUGCAGGUGAUCUCACUGUGUAUUAGAAAAAAAAAUCAUACCUUUUCUUAUUGCUCUGCAAAACCUCUUAUUUUAAGUCCCAUUCUUAAUAUAAAAUCACACGCUGGAAAGGGAUUAGAAGAUUUAAAGGAAACAAAGAAAAGAAUAAGUACAUAUCUUUUCUGAUUUUAAUGAUUUAAUGAGCCAAAAGAAAUUCUUUCCACAUUAAAAAACACUAUAAAAGAGGAGUUCUCAUUGUGGUGCAGUGGCUAACAAAUCCGACUAGGAACUGUGAGGUUGCGGGUUUGAUCCCUGGCCUUGCUCAGUGGGUUAAGGAUCCAGUGUUGCCGUGAGCUGUGGUGUAGGUCACAGAUUCAGCUCGGGUCCCAUGUUGCUGUGGCUCUGGCGUAGGCCAGUGGCUACAGCUCUGAUUAGAUCCCUAGCCUGGUAACCUCCAUAUGGCGCAGGAGUGGCCCUAGAAAAGGCAAAAAGAC
rnacentral:lncRNA from 1 species